rnacentral:rRNA from 1 species
UACGGAGGGAGCUAGCGUUGUUCGGAAUUACUGGGCGUAAAGCGCACGUAGGCGGCUAUUCAAGUCGGGGGUGAAAGCCCGGGGCUCAACCCCGGAAUUGCCCUCGAAACUAGAUAGCUAGAAUCUUGGAGAGGCGAGUGGAAUUCCGAGUGUAGAGGUGAAAUUCGUAGAUAUUCGGAAGAACACCAGUGGCGAAGGCGACUCGCUGGACAAGUAUUGACGCUGAGGUGCGAAAGCGUGGGGAGCAAACAGG